rnacentral:rRNA from 1 species
CAGUAGCCGCGGGAAUACGUAGGUCCCGAGCGUUGUCCGGAUUUAUUGGGCGUAAAGGGCUCGCAGGCGGUUUCUUAAGUCUGAUGUGGAAGCCCCCGGCUCAACCGGGGAGGGUCAUUGGAAACUGGGAAACUUGAGUGCAGAAGAGGAGAGUGGAAUUCCACUUGUAGCGGUGAAAUGCGUAGAGAUGUGGAGGAACACCAGUGGCGAAGGCGACUCUCUGGUCUGUAACUGACGCUGAGGAGCGAAAGCGUGGGGAGCGAACAGGACUAGAGACCCCUGUAGUCCCUGUCUCUUAUAC